rnacentral:lncRNA from 1 species
AUGUGAAGAUGAGAAGUGCACAUGUUGCCUUUCGUGUGAAGACGAGAAGUGCACAUGCUGCCUUUCAUAUGAAGAUGAGAAGUACACACACUGUCUAUGGGUACAUACUGCCUCUCGUAUGAAGAUGAGAAGUGCACAAGAUGUUGCUCACAAAAUGAGCAGUGCACACGUUAUUUCUCAUACGAAGAUGAGAAAUGCACAAGAUGUCGCUCACA